AGUCGGUUUAGUGGCUGGUAAUAACGUGGCAGUCAGUCGCAUAUGUUUGUUGUCUAUGUGGCAAAGAUUAAACUCCGAGAAGUGACAAUAACUGACUUGAACAGAACACGCGACGAACUCGAGCAGGACGAUCUAUAUGGGAUAUCUGCAUUUUACGACUCUUCAUACUACGCUUUGCUGAACCGAAUGGCUUAUGAAUAAAUGCUACAAAUUGAUGAUGAGUAUUAUGAUCUGUACGAACUGAACCUUCAGUUUAUUUAUUAUAUAUAAUUUUGAAUCAUAAUUUUGAAUACUUGAAUUUA